rnacentral:lncRNA from 1 species
AUUAUUAUUAGUCAACACGUUUCCUCAUUGUUUUCUUUUCAAAUCAAUUUCUCUUCAAACUUUUUCUCAGAUAAAUUGUCACUGCUUCACUAAACGCUAAAUCAACUUUGCAAAUAUACCUCACUCAUUGAACCCUAAAUCAAAUUUUCCACACCACCGCUUCACCUCUCUCUCGUACAACUCUUCUCUUCUUCUCCACGGGACACCGAACAUCUCUUCUCUCCCUCUCUCUAUGAGUUCCAAAUCGUCCAAUAAUACUGUGUUGCUGAGGUUUUUCAUCAUCAAAUCGUCCAUACCCACGGCUCCUCGAUUCAAAUCAGUUCCAACAAAGCUCCUUUUCUUCAAAGGUAUUAUUUCCGA